GUCUGUAUGAUGUAGUGGUGUGAGCACUGGACUACAACUCUGGAAACUAGGGUUUGAAUCCCUGUUAAGCCA